GUAGGGUCGCAGUUGAUAAUGGCUCAGGCAGGAAAGCCACUUUGAUUAAGGUAGAUAGUGCAAUGAGUGUGGAAGUUUGCUACAAGUGGUUCAGGUUCGGAAAUUUGAGUAUCAUUAUAAGAAGGGCUUCCAUUUCUGCAGAUGGGGAUUGGUUCAUGGAUGUGUUUCUUCAUCACUGAUCGAUAGGGGAAUAAACUCUGUGAUGAUGGAAUAGCUGAAUGCGUUCAACAGGAAGUGUUAUUUUUCGGGUGACUGAGGAUAGCUUCCUGGAUCGCCCAAGCACCGAUAUGCAUGAGUCGUGCCUCAAUAUUGACAAAGAUUGCUGUUAGGCAAACUGUAAUGAACCAUUUCUAGAUUGUUUGGUGUUAAAUAGUCCAUGGAUCAGCUGAUGAGUCCACUCCAGUUGAAGAUGCAUUUGAGUUUGCCAAGAUCAUACCUAACCACAAAAUACAUAUUAUCCAAGGAGCUGAUCAUUGUUACACGUCGAAUCAACCUGAGUUGGACACAGUUGAGUUGGACUUCCUAAAGGCAGCUCUGCAGCAGGACAAGGCUUCUUUCAACUAGCUAGGCACUCUAUGCCUAUCAAUUAGCAUUUAACUUCAUGUUGUGUAUGUCCUGCGUCAUUAGAUUGUUGAUUCUUAUCUUAUGAUGCUGAAUUCUUAUCUUAUCUUAUAUUAAACAAGCAGAGGACUAAUAUGCUCUCUAUUGUUUCUGUAAUAUGUGAAAGAAUCCCAGAAGUGUCUCUGGCAGCCCAAUCAAAUGCCUUUCCUUCCUUCAUUUCUUAUCGAAAUAUGAACAUUUGAUCAAAA